AUUAGAACAACUUUUGAACAUUGGCUAACAGAUUUCUAAGAAAUGAGUGCUGUUCAGUUUACAUAUUGAGCAAUCCCUCAUUUGUAAGCAUGUUAUCGGGCAUUUGCCCAUGUGGUUGGAGCUCCGGCUUUCUGCAUUCGUGCCCCACAUGGUUGUUAUGUGGGCAUUUUCUAAAGAAGCGGUGGUUUAGGGGUGGAACGGGAAGAGCCAGAGUUUGCUAUUGGGACUCAGUUUUAGCAAUUUUAUUGGAUUUUUGGUUACUUUAAAGAAUGAUGGGCGUCGUGUACUAUAGGUUGUGUAACCCCAUGUUAUUGGGUCUUUACAGGGUGAAUGCCUUGAGGUUUGUUGUAUGCGACUGGUGUUUUUCAAGUCCCAUUAAGAAAAGUAAGUGUAGAGGAGAAAAGUGUAGGAGUUACGGUGGAAGGAUAGGAAGAGGUAAGUGGGAGUGAGUGUGGAGCUCUGCAGGAAAUCAAGAAGGAUUGAAAGGUGUGGAAUUGAGUCGCGGCUCCACCUUCCCUUGGAGUGUGAGAGGCAGGGUGAGGGUAGAAGAUGCUUAGGGUAAAAGAGGGGGGAGAUUAAAGUGCCUGUGACUGUGCUAUGUGCUCAGAAGGCAUGUUAACAGGAUGGAUUAGGGUGAUUGGUGCCUGAUGAGGGUGGUGCUUCACCACAGUAGAGUUGUCUCCCUCCAGCCAGGGGUUCCAAAUUUUGUGAAAUUGUUUGGAUGUGUCAUGGAUUUGCAAGGUGAGGUUGUCCAUUUCUGUGCUGUAUUGUAUUUUUGUUACUAUAGCUGUUAAUCUUGGGAUGAUAGUGGUGGACCAUUGUUGUCCGAUUGCUCUGCGGGUGGCUAAUGUUAUGCGUGCUUGUAAAGCCCUUGUAAAGAUGUCCAAGGGUUUUGAUAGCAAGAGUGCCCAUGUGUCCAGGGGGCAGGGUUGGCAACUUACAUUUAAUGUAAGUAAGUCAUUGUACAGAAUACUGGUAAGACCUCACUUGGAGUAUUGUACACAGUACCGGAGACCAUAUCUCCAGAAGGAUAUUGAUACUUUGGAAAGAGUUCAGAGAAGGGCUACUAAACUGGUUCAUGGAUUGCAGGAUAAAACUUACCAGAAAAGGUUAAAGAAUCUUAACAUGUAUAGCUUGGAGGAAAGAUGAUACACAGGGGGGAUAUGAUAGAAACAUUUAAAUACAUAAAGGGAAUCAACAUAGUAAAGGAGUAGACUAUAUUUAACAGAAGAAAAACUACCACAACAAGAGGACAGUGUCUUAAAUAAGAGGGGCAAAGGUUUAAAAAUAAUUUCAGGAAGUAUUACUUUAAUGCAUGGAAUAGCCUUCCAGCUGAAGUGUUAGAGGUUAAUACAGCGAGGGAGUUUAAGCAUAAGGCUAUUCUAUACUUAAUGUAUGGCCAGGGACUAAUGAAAGUAUUUAGAAAAAUUGGGCAGACUAGAUGGGACUGCGAUCACAUUCUAUGUUUCUCCAAACCUGCCUGUUUCUAUAAAGGACUGAAUAUAUUGCUCUCCACUUUGGUACUAAUCUGUUACACUGGUCCAUGCCCACGUAACCUCCAAUGUUCUCGAACUUACAUUGGUCUGCAGCUCAG
rnacentral:lncRNA from 1 species